CAGUCGCCGCGGUAAUACAGAGGGUGCGAGCGUUAAUCGGAUUUACUGGGCGUAAAGCGUGCGUAGGUGGUGGUUUAAGUCCGUUGUGAAAGCCCUGGGCUCAACCUGGGAAUUGCAGUGGAUACUGGGUCACUAGAGUGUGGUAGAGGAUAGUGGAAUUUCCGGUGUAGCAGUGAAAUGCGUAGAGAUCGGAAGGAACAUCUGUGGCGAAGGCGACUAUCUGGGCCAACACUGACACUGAGGCACGAAAGCGUGGGGAGCAAACAGGAUUAGAUACCCCGGUAGUCCCUGUCUCUUAUAC
rnacentral:rRNA from 1 species